CAGCAUUCGCACCAGUCGAGUUGACAACGUUGAACUUCAAUUCUAAACGAAUAACAACAACAAUUUUAGACAACUACCUUUUACCUUAAGAAAGCAGUGUGACCAACGCACACCCAAACACCCAAGCAUCAUGUGCAAGUAGCUUUCGGCAACGCCCAGUUAAUGCAGUUAACUUGCAGUUGAGUUGUAAAAAUUUAAAAUGCACACACCGAUUUGAUAUUCAAAUCAAGAUGUGCCUUUGUAUUUGUGAGACAUAGAUUUUGUAUAAAAACUCGAGCGCCCUUUGGAAAAGUUAUCAAACAGUCUUUACUUUCGUAUUCAAUUACAAGUGUUCGCUAGCACAACAAACUUAAACGCAAAAAUGUUCAACCUUCACAAAGUGCUCAUCGUGUUCGCCGCCUUGGUGUGCAUCGCUGCUGCCUACCCAAGCAUCAUAGGACCAGCCGUCGUCCCUGCUCUUGGAACAGGUGUUGUUGUAGGAGCAGUCGGACCUGUCGGCCCAAUCGUAGGUUUGGGUCAUGGUCGCGUUAUUGGACACCCUUGGUAAAAUAACAACUUCUAAGCAAUACUAAUUGGACUGCCUACAUUCCCCACUGGACAACUCCCUUUACACUCCUGCUCAUCGUUAUUUUUUUACAUACCACAUCGCUUAUGGAUCCACGAAUGUUAGGAAUUUCGCAACUUUAGUAUAUCGUUGCGUCUCGUUCGCUGCAUUGUUACGUACUCCUUUAUCAACCAUCAAUAAUUUUUUUUAAAUUGUAUUUUUUAUUUUAAUUUGAUUUGAAUAAAUAUGCAAUAAACCAAACACAAA